UACAGAGGUCCCAAGCGUUGUUCGGAUUCAUUGGGCGUAAAGGGUGCGUAGGCGGCGCGGUAAGUCGGGUGUGAAAUCUCGGAGCUUAACUCGAAACUGCAUUCGAUACUGCCGUGCUUGAGGACUGGAGAGGAGACUGGAAUUUACGGUGUAGCGGUGAAAUGCGUAGAUAUCGUAAGGAAGACCAGUGGCGAAGGCGGCUCUCU
rnacentral:rRNA from 1 species